rnacentral:rRNA from 1 species
CUACGGGUGGCUCCAGUGAGGAAUAUUGCACAAUGGGGGGAACCCUGAUGCAGCAACGCCGCGUGGAGGAUGACGCAUUUCGGUGUGUAAACUCCUUUUAUAUGUCAAGAAAAUGACGGUAGCAUAUGAAUAAGCACCGGCUAACUCCGUGCCAGCAGCCGCGGUAAUAGGGAGGGUGCAAGCGUUACUCGGAAUCACUGGGCGUAAAGGACGCGUAGGCGGGUUGGAAAGUCAGGUGUGAAAUCCUACAGCUUAACUGUAGAACUGCACUUGAAACUUCUAAUCUAGAGUAUGGGAGGGGGAGAUGGAAUUAGUGGUGUAGGGGUAAAAUCCGUAGAUAUCACUAGGAAUACCUAAAGCGAAGGCGAUCUCCUGGAACAUUACUGACGCUAAGGCGUGAAAGCGUGGGGAGCAGACAGGAUUAGAUACCCUAGUAGUC